rnacentral:rRNA from 1 species
AAGUCCCUUGGAAAAGGGCAUCAAAGAGGGUGAUAAUCCCGUACAUGGCAUGGAGCCGCCCGAAGCUUUGUGAUACGUCUUUCUAAGAGUCGAGUUGUUUGGGAAUGCAGCUCAAAAUGGGUGGUAAAUGCCAUCUAAGGCUAAAUAUUGGGGAGAGACCGAUAGCGAACAAGUACAGUGAUGGAAAGAUGAAAAGAACUUUGAAAAGAGAGUUAAACAGUACGUGAAAUUGCCAAAAGGGAAGGGUAGGAGGUCAGAGAUGCGGCCUGGGAUUCAGCCUUGCUUUUGCUUGGUGUUUUUCCCAGAUUGCACGCCAACGUCGGUUUUGGGCACUGGAGAAGGGUAGGAGGAACGUGGCACCUCUCGGGGUGUGUUAUAGCCUCCUACUGGAUACAGCGACCGAGACCGAGGACAGCAGCGUACUCGCAAGACCGGGCCUUCUGGCACCUUUACGCUUAGGGCGUUGGCAUAAUGGCCCUCUACCACCCGUCUUCAACACAGACCAAGU